AUGGACAGAACAAAGGGCAGCGAAACCGCGAGGUUAAGCCAAUCCCACAAAUCUGUUCUCAGUUCGGAUCGCAGUCUGCAACUCGACUGCGUGAAGCUGGAAUCGCUAGUAAUCGCGGAUCAGCAUGCCGCGGUGAAUACGUUCCCGGGCCUUGUACACACCGCCCGUCACACCACGAGAGUUUGUAACACCCGAAGUCGGUGAGGUAACAUUUAUGGACCCAGCCGCCGAAGUCUAGAA
rnacentral:rRNA from 1 species